UACGGAGGGUGCAAGCGUUAUCCGGAUUCACUGGGUUUAAAGGGUGCGUAGGAGGGCAGGUAAGUCAGAGGUGAAAUCUCCGGGCUCAACCCGGAAACUGCCUUUGAUACUAUCUGUCUUGAAUAUGGUGGAGGUAAGCGGAAUAUGUCAUGUAGCGGUGAAAUGCUUAGAGAUGACAUAGAACACCUAUUGCGAAGGCAGCUUACUACGCCUAUAUUGACGCUGAGGCACGAAAGCGUGGGGAUCAAACAGG
rnacentral:rRNA from 1 species